rnacentral:rRNA from 1 species
GAUGAAGGACGUGCUAAUCUGCGAAAAGCGUCGGUAAGGUGAUAUGAACCGUUAUAACCGGCGAUGUCCGAAUGGGGAAACCCAGUGCAAUUCGUUGCACUAUCGUUAACUGAAUACAUAGGUUAACGAGGCGAACCGGGGGAACUGAAACAUCUAAGUACCCCGAGGAAAAGAAAUCAACCGAGAUUCCCCCAGUAGCGGCGAGCGAACGGGGAGCAGCCCAGAGUC